GCUGUGCUAUCAUACCAUCUGUGUUCAGGCACAGCUCUCCUCCUAUUGCUUCCUAAAGCAAUAAGGAUAAAAAAUAAAAACAGAUAUGAUGGAGAAGCACCGUGUGUUGGAAUACACCAUGAGCCUGAGCCUUACCAUGCUUGUUACGGAAACGGCCUCCUCUGUAGCUGCAUACUGCAACAAAGCAUCCCCAGGGAAAUAAAAAUGAAGGUUACAUUCUCCUUUCAUGUUUAGAUCAGUGAUCUCCUCACCUGUCCCGGCCAGCAAAGCCUGGUGAGCCCUGCUCUGCCCCAUACCGUUCUGAACACUGCUUUGUUCAGCUCCUUUCUCAAACAUCCCAGCAACGUUCCACGUGCAAGUGAGUGAAAUUCUUUAAAUGUUGGAGUAGAUGGAAGGCACCAGAACAGUUGGGGGGGGGAUAACCCCAGUGUUAAAUCAGCAUCUAAGGACAAAACAGGGAUGAAAAUGCACCCCGUGACAAACCUCAGCGUGUAUCUUAGGCCAGUAAGAGGUCCAUGAGCCAGCGCUAUAGGUAAAACUUCACUGUAUGAACGUAAGAGUCCUCUACAUUGCACAAUUUUAAAGGUCAAUGAAAGUCCUAUUGUUAAGGAAUCAAUUGUGUAAUGCAGAGCUUAAUACAGAGCCUUUCUGACAUUUAGUCGAAAUGCAGGACCGUUGUUUUUAAGAUUCAGAAAGAAAAUCCCCAUCCUGGCCACUCGGUCAUACUUUCGGUCUGCAGAACUCCGCCAGUGCAGAGGGAAAGGAACGGAGCAGCGUGCCAACGGCAGGCAGGGAACCCGCACACACUGCACUCCAGUAGAGCUCCAGCCCAGCCCUGUCCAGCUACUUGUCGAGAACACAAGCAUGCUCACAACUUCCUCUUGCUUUCCGAGAAUCACCUCGCUCCUCCUAUGCUAUUCCCACACGCUGCCCUACCGAGAGAUUUUGUGGACUCUGCCUACAUAAACACACGUCUGUCCCGCACCGGUCGUUCGCGUGUCCAGUGAAGCACACGCCUGUGAGCCAGGCAGGGGCAGCGGGGAGAGCUCCACAGCUGAGAUGCGGCAAUCGCCCACGUGACGGCCGUGUAAGGCUCCGUGUCACAUCUUGCACUGAGAAGGAGUAGGGUGGAGUGCUCGCUGGAAUCUCCAUAAAUAUGAGAGCCUGGAGGGAGAUCAUGAGAGGGAACCUCUCUCUUCGAGCGGAGGUACUUCUGCGCCGUGACGGCUUCAGUGCGGCUCUCUGAGGGGAAACCUCCCCGACCCCUCCAUUGUCACCGACCACGCUGUGGAAGCAGACGGGGAGGCUCUCCCCACAGCACCGCGGCCUGCCGGCCUCGCACCCCGCGCCGCUCCCCGCACGGCCGGCC
rnacentral:lncRNA from 1 species